GAUGAACGCUGGCGGCGUGCCUAAUACAUGCAAGUCGAGCGAACAGACGAGGAGCUUGCUCCUCUGACGUUAGCGGCGGACGGGUGAGUAACACGUGGAUAACCUACCUAUAAGACUGGGAUAACUUCGGGAAACCGGAGCUAAUACCGGAUAAUAUAUUGAACCGCAUGGUUCAAUAGUGAAAGACGGUUUUGCUGUCACUUAUAGAUGGAUCCGCGCCGCAUUAGCUAGUUGGUAAGGUAACGGCUUACCAAGGCAACGAUGCGUAGCCGACCUGUGAGGGUGAUCGGCCACACUGGAACUGAGACACGGUCCAGACGACUACGGGAGGCAGCAGUAGGGAAUCUUCCGCAAUGGGCGAAAGCCUGACGGAGCAACGCCGCGUGAGUGAUGAAGGUCUUCGGAUCGUAAAACUCUGUUAUUAGGGAAGAACAAAUGUGUAAGUAACUAUGCACGUCUUGACGGUACCUAAUCAGAAAGCCACGGCUAACUACGUG
rnacentral:rRNA from 1 species